rnacentral:misc_RNA from 1 species
GAUGAAGAACGUAGCGAAAUGCGAUAAGUAAUGUGAAUUGCAGAAUUCAGUGAAUCAUCGAAUCUUUGAACGCACAUUGCGCCCGCCAGUAUUCUGGCGGGCAUGCCUGUUCGAGCGUCAUUACAACCCUCAGGCCCCCGGGCCUGGCGUUGGGGAUCGGCGGAAGCCCCCUGCGGGCACAACGCCGUCCCCCAAAUACAGUGGCGGUCCCGCCGCAGCUUCCAUUGCGUAGUAGCUAACACCUCGCAACUGGAGAGCGGCGCGGCCACGCCGUAAAACACCCAACUUCUGAAUGUUGACCUCGAAUCAGGUAGUAAUACCCGCUGAACUUAAGCAUAUCAAUAAGCGGAGGA